rnacentral:lncRNA from 1 species
AUUAUUUUUAACAUCCCUUGACGAUUCGAGUUAUCGAGGUUGCAUUGUAUAUGUAUAUAUGUAUAUAUAUAUAUAUAUUCUUGUUUAUUUUCAAUAUGAUAGUUGCUUUGUCUUGUGCAUUAGAGAUAGGUUAUAAUAUAUAUACAGGCACUCUGCUAAUGUAGUGUCUCAAUUAUAUUUCAUGUUUUUAUUUUAUAUACCAAAAUGAAAAUUACAGGUAAUCCUCAUAUAACACAAUAGAAAUGACUAAAAAAUGCAGUGUUGUGUGAAACCAUGUUAUGAGAUCUGAAGCCUGUACAAAAAAAGGGAGUUGCAUUCCAAAAACAAAUAACUUUUUAAUUACACAUAAAUUUUUAAUUUUUAUUAAAAUUAUUAAUAACACAAAACAAAAAGGAAGAAAAAUUAAGACACAGCAAGUGUGUGUUUGUAUAUAUACAAAAAAGAAAGUAUAUAGCCUAUGUAACAUUUCAUUUAAUAAUUAUAUCUCUCUUACUGAUAUUCAUUUAAAACAGGAAUGUGUUUUUUCUUUUUAACAAUAUCAACUUCAUUUCUCAAACUUUUUUUCUACAUUUAAACUUUACAGAUUUUGUAAAGAGCAGAAGAUAAUCUAAUCUGCUACAAAACAAUCAUUCCUUAACACUUUCCCAAAAAAAUUUAU